GACGAACGCUGGCGGCGUGCUUAACACAUGCAAGUCGAACGGAAAGGCCUGCUUUCCCUUGUGGAUUGCGGGUACUCGCGUGGCGAACGCGUGAGUAACACGUGAGUUAUCUGCCCCCAACUUGGGUAUAAGCUUGGGAAACUGGGUCUAAUUCCCGCUAGGUCCGCAGGGUGGUUCCUGUGGUUGCAAACGAUGUGCUAGUGGUUGGGGAUGGGCGCGCGGCCUAUCAGCUUGUUGGUGGGGUAGUGGCCUACCAGUGCGGCGACGGGUAGGCUGUCAGGGAGGGUGGACGGGCACAGGGGGACGGAGACACGGCCCAGACGCCUACGGGAGGCAGCAGAGGGGAAUAUGGCACGAGGAGCGGAAGACUGAGGGAGCGACGCUGCGUGAGGGAUGACGGCCUUGGGGUUGUGAACUCCGGUCGACAGCGAGGAAGCCACCGGGUUGGAAGGGUGGUGACGGUAGUGGGAGAAGAAGCACCGGCUAACUACGUG
rnacentral:rRNA from 1 species